rnacentral:rRNA from 1 species
AGAGUUUGAUCAUGGCUCAGGAUGAACGCUGGCGGUGUGCCUAAUACAUGCAAGUCGAACGGGAUCUUCGGAUCUAGUGACGAACGGGUGAGUAACACGUUGGUACCUACCCCUAAGUGGGGAAUAACUGCCCGAAAGGGUGGCUAAUACCGCAUAAUCCCGCAAGGGUAAAGCAGUAAUGCGCUUAGGGAGGGGCCUGCGUCUGAUUAGCUAGUUGGUAGGGUAAUGGCCUACCAAGGCGACGAUCAGUAGCUGGAUCGAGAGGUUGACCAGCCACACUGGGACUGAGAUACGGCCCAGACUCCUACGGGAGGCAGCAGUAAGGAAUCUUCCACAAUGGACGAAAGUCUGAUGGAGCAACACCGCGUGCAGGAUGACGGCCUUCGGGUUGUAAACUGCUUUUAUAUGGGAAGAUUAUGACGGUACCAUAUGAAUAAGGACCGGCUAACUACGUGCCAGCAGCCGCGGUAAUACGUAGGGUCCAAGCGUUAUCCGGAAUCACUGGGCGUAAAGCGUGCGUAGGUGGCGUGUUAAGUGUGAUGUUAAAUCGUGGGGCUCAACCCUGUCGGUGCAUCACAUACUGGCAUGCUAGAGGACAGCAGAGGCAAGUGGAAUUUGUAGUGUAGCAGUGAAAUGCGUAGAUAUUACAAGGAACACCAAUGGCGAAGGCGCUUGCUGGGCUACUCCUGACACUGAGGUACGAAAGCGUGGGGAGCGAACAGGAUUAGAUACCCUAGUAGUCC